UGCAUUUUUAAAUAAGUGGAGGGCUAUAAGUACUGAAAGAGAAAUCUGUAUGAUCUUGUGCAUGUGCUAUGUGAGGUAGAGAGACACUGAGGUAGACACUGAGGCAGACACCGAGGUAGAUACUGAGGUAGAUACUGAGGUAGACACAGAGGUAGACACAGAGGCAGACACUGAGGUAGACACUGAGGUAGAUACUGAGGUAGACACAGAGGUAGACACAGAGGCAGACACUGAGGUAGACACUGAGGUAGAGAGACACUGGGGCAGACACUGAGGCAGACACCUAGGUAGACACUGAGGUAGAGAGACACUGGGGUAGACACUGAGGCAGACACUGAGGCAAGCACUGAGGUAGAGAGACACUGAGGUAGACACUGAGGUAGACACUGAGGUAGACACUGAGGCAGACACUGAGGUAGACACUGAGACACUGGGGUAGACACUGAGGUAGACACUGAGGUAGACACUGAGGUAAACACUGAGGUAGACACUGAGGUGGACACUGAGGUGGACACUGAGGUGGACACUGAGGUGGACACUAAGGUAGACACUGAGGCAGAGAAUGGAAAGGUUGUUACCAAGGCAGGAGGCAGGAAAAUGCC
rnacentral:lncRNA from 1 species